GUAAUCGUGGAUCAGAAUGCCACGGUGAAUACGUUCCCGGGCCUUGUACACACCGCCCGUCACACCAUGGGAGUGGGUUGCAAAAGAAGUAGGUAGCUUAACCUUCGGGAGGGCGCUUACCACUUUGUGAUUCAUGACUGGGGUGAAGUCGUAACAAGGUAACCGUAGGGGAACCUGCGGUUGGAUCACCUCCUUACCUUAAAGAAGC
rnacentral:rRNA from 2 species